rnacentral:rRNA from 1 species
AACGCGAAGAACCUUACCAGCUCUUGACAUGGGACGUUUGACCUCGGGAAAUCGGGGUCUUCAGUUCGGCUGGCGUCCACACAGGUGCUGCAUGGCUGUCGUCAGCUCGUGUCGUGAGAUGUUGGGUUAAGUCCCGCAACGAGCGCAACCCUCACCUUCAGUUGCCAUCAGGUUAUGCUGGGCACUCUGAAGGAACUGCCGGUGACAAGCCGGAGGAAGGCGGGGAUGACGUCAAGUCCUCAUGGCCUUUAUGUCCAGGGCUACACACGUGUUACAAUGCGCGCCACAAAGCGUUGCAAACCCGCGAGGGGGAGCUAAUCGCAAAAAAGCGCGCUCAGUCCGGAUUGCAGUCUGCAACUCGACUGCAUGAAGCUGGAAUCGCUAGUAAUGGCGCAUCAGAACGGCGCCGUGAAUACGUUCCCGGGCCUUGUACACACCGCUAGUC